rnacentral:rRNA from 1 species
AACGAACGCUGGCGGCAGGCCUAACACAUGCAAGUCGAGCGCGCCCUUCGGGGUGAGCGGCGGACGGGUGAGUAACGCGUGGGAACGUGCCCUUCUCUGCGGAAUAGCCUCGGGAAACUGAGAGUAAUACCGCAUACGCCCUUUGGGGGAAAGAUUUAUCGGAGAAGGAUCGGCCCGCGUUGGAUUAGGUAGUUGGUGGGGUAAUGGCCCACCAAGCCGACGAUCCAUAGCUGGUUUGAGAGGAUGAUCAGCCACACUGGGACUAAGACACGGCCCAGACUCCUACGGGAGGCAGCAGUGGGGAAUCUUAGACAAUGGGGGCAACCCUGAUCUAGCCAUGCCGCGUGAGUGAUGAAGGCCUUAGGGUUGUAAAGCUCUUUCAGCUGGGAAGAUAAUGACGGUACCAGCAGAAGAAGCCCCGGCUAACUCCGUG